rnacentral:ribozyme from 1 species
AUAUUCAUGUUCAUUGUUUUCUUCAUUGUAUUUCUGUUGGAUUUUGUCGUUGUUCUGUCUUCAAGUUCGCGAGUUCUUGAGAGUGCAAUACAAAGCAAAGAAGUUCUGCG